AAACUUUCAACAACGGAUCUCUUGGUUCUGGCAUCGAUGAAGAACGCAGCGAAAUGCGAUAAGUAAUGUGAAUUGCAGAAUUCAGUGAAUCAUCGAAUCUUUGAACGCACAUUGCGCCCUCUGGUAUUCCGGGGGGCAUGCCCGUUCGAGCGUCAUUACACCACUCAAGCCUAGCUUGGUAUUGGAGGUUGCGGUCUUUUUAAACGGUCGCACCUCUCGAAUUCUCCCGGCUGGUAGUUGAUUGAAACCCUUGCGUUGUGGAAACAUAUCUCGCUCGUGGGUUCACCGCUGCCUGGGCCGUAAAAAUCAUUUUACACACAAGGUUGACCUCGGAUCGGGUAGGGAUACCCGCUGAAC
rnacentral:rRNA from 1 species